rnacentral:snoRNA from 1 species
GGCACUUGUUUAUGUUUUUGUUUUACUUGUGGACCAAGACUGACAGACAGGUGCAAAAAAUAAAUUCUCUUUUGCAACUCAGAAUUCAUUGUUUCAGUAUGAGUUUUGAUACAUAUAAGAAGGAAUAUC